rnacentral:rRNA from 1 species
UGGAUCCAGACUUUGAUCAUGGCUCAGGACGAACGCUGGCGGCGUGCUUAACACAUGCAAGUCGAACGAAGCUUGACGAAUGAUUUCUUCGGAAUGAAUUCCGAUAUGACUGAGUGGCGGACGGGUGAGUAACGCGUGAGGAACCUGCCCUUCAGAGGGGGAUAGUGCUUGGAAACGAACAGUAAUACCGCAUAAUGUAUUUUUACCGCAUGAUAGAAAUACCAAAGAUUUAUCGCUGAAGGAUGGCCUCGCGUCUGAUUAGAUAGUUGGUGGGGUAACGGCCUACCAAGUCGACGAUCAGUAGCCGGACUGAGAGGUCGAACGGCCACAUUGGGACUGAGACACGGCCCAGACUCCUACGGGAGGCAGCAGUGGGGAAUAUUGCACAAUGGGGGAAACCCUGAUGCAGCAACGCCGCGUGAAGGAAGACGGUUUUCGGAUUGUAAACUUCUGUUCUUAGUGAAGAAAAAUGACGGUAGCUAAGGAGCAAGCCACGGCUAACUACGUGCCAGCAGCCGCGGUAAUACGUAGGUGGCAAGCGUUGUCCGGAAUUACUGGGUGUAAAGGGGGCGCAGGCGGGAGAGCAAGUCAGUUGUGAAAUCCAUGGGCUUAACCCAUGAACUGCAGUUGAAACUGUUCUUCUUGAGUGAAGUAGAGGUUGGCGGAAUUCCGAGUGUAGCGGUGAAAUGCGUAGAUAUUCGGAGGAACACCGGUGGCGAAGGCGGCCAACUGGGCUUUUACUGACGCUGAGGCCCGAAAGUGUGAGGAGCAAACAGGAUUAGAUACCCUGGUAGUCCACACUGUAAACGAUGAUGACUAGGUGUGGGGGGACUGACCCCUUCUGUGCCGCAGCUAACGCAAUAAGUUAUCCACCUGGGGAGUACGACCGCAAGGUUGCAACUCAAAUGAAUUGACGA